rnacentral:rRNA from 1 species
GAUGAACGCUGGCGGCGUGCCUAAUACAUGCAAGUCGAGCGAACGGACGAGAAGCUUGCUUCUCUGAUGUUAGCGGCGGACGGGUGAGUAACACGUGGAUAACCUACCUAUAAGACUGGGAUAACUUCGGGAAACCGGAGCUAAUACCGGAUAAUAUUUUGAACCGCAUGGUUCAAAAGUGAAAGACGGUCUUGCUGUCACUUAUAGAUGGAUCCGCGCUGCAUUAGCUAGUUGGUAAGGUAACGGCUUACCAAGGCAACGAUGCAUAGCCGACCUGAGAGGGUCAUCGGCCACACUGGAACUGAGACACGGUCCAGACUCCUACGGGAGGCAGCAGUAGGGAAUCUUCCGCAAAGGGCGAAAGCCUGACGGAGCAACGCCGCGUGAGUGAUGAAGGUCUUCGGAUCGUAAAACUCUGUUAUUAGGGAAGAACAUAUGUGUAAGUAACUGUGCACAUCUUGACGGUACCUAAUCAGAAAGCCACGGCUAACUACGUG